rfam:Schistosoma mansoni, Puerto Rico, WGS project CABG01000000 data, contig: 0062
AUCCAUCUGGCGAGUCUCAAAUAGGACGAAACGCGCAUCCUGGAU